rnacentral:misc_RNA from 1 species
AAGUCGUAACAAGGUUUCCGUUGGUGAACCAGCGGAAGGAUCAUUACUGAGAUCAUGCCCUCACGGGUAGACCUCCCACCCUGUGUAUUAUACCUUUGUUGCUUUGGCAGGCCCGCCCCCCGGGGCACUCGGCUCCGGCUGAGCAGCGCCUGCCAGAGGACCCCAACCCUAAUGUUUACGUGUCGUCUGAGUACUAUAUAAUAAGUUAAAA